GACGGAUCCGUCUUGAACUCCACAUCCCAGGACGAAAAGCAAAAUACAUGUUGCUGUUUGCUCUCCGGUCUGGGAACGCAACUAAACGGAACGGAAUGCAUUUUGGAGCAUUCUGUUCAGUUCAGUUUUGUCCCCAUUGACAAUAAAUGGGGAC